rnacentral:rRNA from 1 species
GAUGAACGCUGGCGGCGUGCCUAAUACAUGCAAGUCGAGCGAACGGACGAGAAGCUUGCUUCUCUGAUGUUAGCGGCGGACGGGUGAGUAACACGUGGAUAACCUACCUAUAAGACUGGGAUAACUUCGGGAAACCGGAGCUAAUACCGGAUAAUAUUUUGAACCGCAUGGUUCAAAAGUGAAAGACGGUCUUGCUGUCACUUAUAGAUGGAUCCGCGCUGCAUUAGCUAGUUGGUAAGGUAACGGCUUACCAAGGCAACGAUGCAUAGCCGACCUGAGAGGGUGAUCGGCCACACUGGAACUGAGACACGGUCCAGACUCCUACGGGAGGCAGCAGUAGGGAAUCUUCCGCAAUGGGCGAAAGCCUGACGGAGCAACGCCGCGUGAGUGAUGAAGGUCUUCGGAUCGUAAAACUCUGUUAUUAGGGAAGAACAUAUGUGUAAGUAACUGUGCACAUCUUGACGGUACCUAAUCAGAAAGCCACGGCUAACUACGUGCCAGCAGCCGCGGUAAUACGUAGGUGGCAAGCGUUAUCCGGAAUUAUUGGGCGUAAAGCGCGCGUAGGCGGUUUUUUAAGUCUGAUGUGAAAGCCCACGGCUCAACCGUGGAGGGUCAUUGGAAACUGGAAAACUUGAGUGCAGAGAGGAAAGUGGAAUUCCAUGUGUAGCGGUGAAAUGCGCAGAGAUAUGGAGGAACACCAGUGGCGAAGGCGACUUUCUGGUCUGUAACUGACGCUGAUGUGCGAAAGCGUGGGGAUCAAACAGGAUUAGAUACCCUGGUAGUCCACGCCGUAAACGAUGAGUGCUAAGUGUUAGGGGGUUUCCGCCCCUUAGUGCUGCAGCUAACGCAUUAAGCACUCCGCCUGGGGAGUACGACCGCAAGGUUGAAACUCAAAGGAAUUGACGGGGACCCGCACAAGCGGUGGAGCAUGUGGUUUAAUUCGAAGCAACGCGAAGAACCUUACCAAACCUUGACAUCCUUUGACAACUCUAGAGAUAGAGCCUUCCCCUUCGGGGGACAAAGUGACAGGUGGUGCAUGGUUGUCGUCAGCUCGUGUCGUGAGAUGUUGGGUUAAGUCCCGCAACGAGCGCAACCCUUAAGCUUAGUUGCCAUCAUUAAGUUGGGCACUCUAAGUUGACUGCCGGUGACAAACCGGAGGAAGGUGGGGAUGACGUCAAAUCAUCAUGCCCCUUAUGAUUUGGGCUACACACGUGCUACAAUGGACAAUACAAAGGGCAGCGAGACCGCGAGGUCAAGCAAAUCCCAUAAAGUUGUUCUCAGUUCGGAUUGUAGUCUGCAACUCGACUACAUGAAGCUGGAAUCGCUAGUAAUCGUAGAUCAGCAUGCUACGGUGAAUACGUUCCCGGGUCU